UACGGGGGGAGCAAGCGUUGUUCGGAUUUACUGGGCGUAAAGGGUGCGCAGGCGGCCAAGUGUGUCAGACGUGAAAUCCCUCGGCUCAACCGGGGAACUGCGUCUGAGACUGGAAGGCUUGAAUCCGGGAGAGGGAUGUGGAAUUCCAGGUGUAGCGGUGAAAUGCGUAGAUAUCUGGAGGAACACCGGUGGCGAAGGCGGCAUCCUGGACCGGUAUUGACGCUGAGGCGCGGACAGCGUGGGGAGCAAACAGG
rnacentral:rRNA from 1 species